CAGCAGCCGCGGUAAUACGGAGGGUGCAAGCGUUAAUCGGAAUUACUGGGCGUAAAGCGUGCGUAGGUGGUGGUUUAAGUCCGUUGUGAAAGCCCUGGGCUCAGCCUGGGAACUGCAUUUGAGACUGUACGGCUAGAGUGUGUCAGAGGGGGGUAGAAUUCCACGUGUAGCAGUGAAAUGCGUAGAUAUGUGGAGGAAUACCGAUGGCGAAGGCAGCCCCCUGGGAUAACACUGACGCUCAUGCACGAAAGCGUGGGGAGCAAACAGGAUUAGAUACCCCUGUAGUCCCUGUCUCUUAUAA
rnacentral:rRNA from 1 species